rnacentral:rRNA from 1 species
CCUACGGGUGGCAGCAGUGAGGAAUAUUGGUCAAUGGCCGCGGGCCUGAACCAGCCAAGUCGCGUGAAGGAUGACUGCCCUACGGAUUGUAAACUUCUUUUAUCAAGGAAUAAAGUGCGGCACGUGUUCCUUUUUGUAUGUACUUGAUGAAUAAGGAUCGGCUAACUCCGUGCCAGCAGCCGCGGUAAUACGGAGGAUCCGAGCGUUAUCCGGAUUUAUUGGGUUUAAAGGGAGAGUAGAUGGGUUGUUAAGUCAGUUGUGAAAGUUUGCGGCUCAACCGUAAAAUUGCAAUUGAUACUGGCAGCCUUGAGUACAGGUGAGGUAGGCGGAAUGCGUGGUGUAGCGGUGAAAUGCUUAGAUAUCACGAAGAACUCCGAUUGCGAAGGCAGCCUACUAACGUUCAACUGACAUUGAUGCUCGAAAGUGUGGGUAUCAAACAGGAUUAGAUACCCGGGUAGUC